UAGGGAAUCUUCGGCAAUGGACGAAAGUCUGACCGAGCAACGCCGCGUGAGUGAAGAAGGUUUUCGGAUCGUAAAACUCUGUUGUUAGAGAAGAACAAGGACGUUAGUAACUGAACGUCCCCUGACGGUAUCUCACCAGAAAGCCACGGCUAACUACGUGCCAGCAGCCGCGGUAAUACGUAGGUGGCAAGCGUUGUCCGGAUUUAUUGGGCGUAAAGCGAGCGCAGGCGGUUUCUUAAGUCUGAUGUGAAAGCCCCCGGCUCAACCGGGGAGGGUCAUUGGAAACUGGGAGAGUUGAGUGGAGAAGAGGAGAGUGGAAUUCCAUGUGUAGCGGUGAAAGGCGUAGAUAUAUGGAGGAACACCAGUGGCGAAGGCGGCUCUGUGGUCUGUAGCUGACGCUGAGGCUAGAAAGCGUGGGGAGCAAACAGG
rnacentral:rRNA from 1 species